UACGGGAUCUCAGUCGAGUGAGCAUCUCCGACACGGCAACACCUGCAGCCCACUAUUUGUCACCAACUGCCUUCUUCAUUGCAAUUCCGGUUCGCAAUCACGGUAUAGUUAACCAUGGCGCCGUGCUGCUGUUUGUUGUUGUAUGGUUAAUGGUUGGGUCGACCACGGGUGUACCGAUGUCUCCUGGACAUGGUGGAUACCAAGCAACAGCAGCGAAAGAAUAAUGCACCACGUCGCCGCCUUACUACACAUCAACGUCUAGAUACGCAACAUCUACUUACUACGCCGAGGCUCCGAAGUACCACAUCACCGAGUUUAUACUGUCCCAGCCUACUACUCCGAAGUCCCCAAUUACUACAGGACUAUGAAUGCUGCCCCAGCCUACUACACCGAGGCCCCAUCUUAUUUGAAUACCAAAGCGGUUGAGUACUACACCGAACCGCACAAGUACUACUCUGACCCGAACUACACAACCACAAUUGGGGCGGCCAAGUACUACGUAGCCCAGACUUACAACACAGCAGCUGCUCCUUCCUACUACGUUGAACUGUAAUACUACACCGAGACUCCCAAUUUACUACACCACAACCUACGCUACACCUAGAUACUACGACGAAGCCCCCAACUAUGUUACACCGAAAAGGCCACACAUUACACAACCACGUACACUGCCCCAGUUUACUUCACUGAGAAACCCAAGUAUAACUCUGCUCCAAGCUACUACCAAACUGAGGCUCCUGUUUACUACCCCAAGGCCACCGGGGAUUACACUACAACCAAAUGUUAAAUAUGGCGUCGUGCUGUUGUUGGUUGUUGUUUCCUUGACGGUUAAGUCGACCACUGGUGUGUCUCGGGGGAAUGUGGACACCAAACCGCAACGCCACCGUCUUAUAACACAACAACAUACGCAACAACCGGUUACUUCACCACCGGUUACUUCACCACCAAUUCCUCAGAGUAUAAUCCACAACUGAUGAUGUUCCGAACUACUACACCGAAGCCCCAAAGUAUAACUCUGCCCCGAGUUACACCACCAAGGCACCGGAGUACUACACCACCAAGGCACCGGAGUACUACACCACCAAGGCACCGGAGUACUACAUCACCACGUAUGCUGCCCCAGCCUUUUACAUCGAGGCCUAAGUACUACUCCGAUCCCAGCUACUUCACCGAGGCUCCAGCUGAUUACGCCACCAAAGCGGUCAAAUACAACACCGAAGCGCCCUAGUACUACUCUGCACCGAACUACUACACAGCGGCUGCUUCUUCGUACCAACUACGUUGGACCGAAAUACUACACUGAGGUUCCAGUUUACUACACUACAACCCACGCUGCCUUCAGCUACCAUACCGAGGUUCCGCUCCCAUACCGAUGUGCCUAAGUACUACACAACAAAGGCACCCGAGUAUUGUAUCACUACUUAGACUGCUCCGACCUACUGCAUAGAAGCUGCGAAGUAUUCCACUGCCCUGAGUUACAACACCAAUAAGGCACCUGAAUGUUACAUCACAACUUUCGCUUCUCCAGUUAACUACAGGGAGGCUCUUAAAUCAGAAAUUUCGGUUCUAGUAUUUGUCUAAUUGUGUUCAAAUUUGUCGGUCAUAUCUUAAUAGUUACUAGUCACUUGGAAUCGUUAAUCUUAAAUGAGAAAAUAUAUUUUUUUAUGGUAA